GACGAACCGAGCGAACGUUGUUCGGAAUUACUGGGCGUAAAGCGUGUGUAGGCGGUCUACUAAGUCGGGUGUGAAAGCCCUGGGCUCAACCCAGGAAGUGCACUCGAAACUGGCAGGCUAGAGUACUGGAGAGGUUGGUGGAAUUCUCGGUGUAGAGGUGAAAUUCGUAGAUAUCGAGAGGAACACCGGUGGCGAAGGCGGCCAACUGGACAGAUACUGACGCUGAGACACGAAAGCGUGGGGAGCAAACAGG
rnacentral:rRNA from 1 species